rnacentral:snoRNA from 1 species
AAGACUAUACUUUCAGGAAUCAUUUCUAUAGUUUCUUACUAGAGAAGUUUCUCUGACUGUGUAGAGCACCGGAAACCAUGAGGAGGAGGUGCAGCGUUCUCUCCUGAGCGUGAAGCUGGCCCUGGGUGUUGCUCUGUGCAAAUGCCCUUUGCCAUUGAUGAUCGUAAAUAAUAAUAAUAAUAAUAAUAAUAAU